rnacentral:rRNA from 1 species
GACGAACGCUGGCGGCGUGCUUAACACAUGCAAGUCGAACGGGCCUUGUCCCCUUUUUUUUGGGGGUGGGGUUAGUGGCGAACGGGUGAGUAACACGUGAGUAACCUGCCCCUCACUUCUGGAUAACCGCUUGAAAGGGUGGCUAAUACGGGGUGUUCUGGCCUGCUCGCAUGGGUGGGUUUGGAAAGAUUCGACCGGUUUUGGUUGUUUUGGUGGGGGAUGGGCUCGCGGCCUAUCAGCUUGUUGGUGGGGGGAUGGCCUGCCAAGGCUUUGACGGGUAGCCGGCCGGGGAGGGGGGGCGGUAACACUGGGACUGGGACACGGCCCAGACUCCUACGGGAGGCAGCAGUGGGGAAUAUUGCACAAUGGGCGCAAGCCUGAUGCAGCGACGCCGCGUGAGGGAUGGAGGCCGUCGGGUUGGGAACCUCUUUCGCCAGUGAAGAAGGUCCUGCUCUUUGUGGUGGGGUUGACGGUAGCUGGGUUAAUGAAGCGCCGGCUAACUACGCG